rnacentral:rRNA from 1 species
ACGGAGGGAGCUAGCGUUGUUCGGAAUUACUGGGCGUAAAGCGUGCGUAGGCGGCUAUUCAAGUCAGAGGUGAAAGCCUGGAGCUCAACUCCAGAACUGCCUUUGAAACUAGAUAGCUAGAAUCUUGGAGAGGUGAGUGGAAUUCCGAGUGUAGAGGUGAAAUUCGUAGAUAUUCGGAAGAACACCAGUGGCGAAGGCGACUCACUGGACAAGUAUUGACGCUGAGGUACGAAAGCGUGGGGAGCAAACAGGAUUAGAUACCCUGGUAGUCCACGCCGUAAACGAUGAUAACUAGCUGUCCGGGCUCUCAGAGCUUGGGUGGCGCAGCUAACGCAUUAAGUUAUCCGCCUGGGGAGUACGGUCGCAAGAUUA